rnacentral:rRNA from 1 species
UACGUAGGUGGCGAGCGUUGUCCGGAUUUACUGGGCGUAAAGGAUGCGUAGGUGGAAAUUUAAGUGGGAUGUGAAAUCCCCGGGCUCAACCCGGGAACUGCAUUCCAAACUGGGUUUCUUGAGUGCAGGAGAGGAAAGCGGAAUUCCUAGUGUAGCGGUGAAAUGCGUAGAUAUUAGGAAGAACACCAGUGGCGAAGGCGGCUUUCUGGACUGUAACUGACACUGAGGCAUGAAAGCGUGGGGAGCAAACAGGAUUAGAUACCCCCGUAGUCCCUGAG